rnacentral:rRNA from 1 species
GCAUAUCAGAACGAUGCGGUGAAUACGUUCCCGGGCCUUGUACACACCGCCCGUCACACCACGAAAGUUUGUUGUACCCCGAAGUCGGUGCCUUAACCUCGCAAGAGGAGAGAGCCGCCCAAGGUAUGGCCGAUGAUUGGGGUGAAGUCGUAACAAGGUAGCCGUAGGGGAACCUGCGGCUGGAUCACCUCCUUUCUAGGAGAGAAGGGUCCUGGAUGAAGCGCUCCCUAUUUAGUCUUGUGAAGGAUCCGAGUGGAAGCCGGGACCGGAGAAAGACCGGGCCUGUAGCUCAGAUGGUGAGUAGCGCACGCCUGAUAAGCGUGAGGUCGAUAGUUCGAAUCUAUCCAGGCCCACAUCUGCGGGGAUGUAGCUCAGUUGGGAGAGCGCCUG